GGUAACCUUUUCUCAGCAGACCAGAACCCUCGCUGGAGGAGGCCUAACGCCCCCUCAUUGGACCCAUCCUCUGAUACCUUGGUGUUCCAGCAAAUUGAUCUCGACUACUACCUGGUGGCUCCAUAGCUGGUAUGCCUGGCCUGUCACAGGGAAAAGUACCAAUUAUUAGGAUGUUUGGUGUAACAGACAGUGGCAACAGUGUGUGCUGUCAUGUUCAUGGCUUUGCACCUUACUUCUAUGUUCCUGCACCAAGCGGAUUCACAUCUAAUUACCUUGGUGAAUUUAAAAGAGAGCUGAACUCUGUUGUUCUUAAGGACAUGCGCUCCAAUAAGGACAAUAUCUCUGUCACAGUGCUCGCUGUGGACAUCUGUCGCAAAGAAAGCAUGUAUGGCUACCAUGGGCAGCACAGUCUGGAUUUUUU